rnacentral:tRNA from 1 species
AGAAAUUUAGGUUAAGCACAAACCAAGAGCCUUCAAAGCUCUAAACAGGGACCAGCCCCUAA